rnacentral:tRNA from 1 species
GGUUGUAGCUCAGUGGUAGAGUGCUCACCCAGCACGUGUCAGGCCCUGGGUUCAAGCCUCAGCACCA